AUGAACGCUGGCGGCGUGCCUAAUACAUGCAAGUCGAGCGAACGGACGAGAAGCUUGCUUCUCUGAUGUUAGCGGCGGACGGGUGAGUAACACGUGGAUAACCUACCUAUAAGAUUGGGAUAACUUCGGGAAACCGGAGCUAAUACAGGAUGAUAUCUUGAUCCGCAUGGUUCAAAAGUGAAAGACGGCCUUGCUGUCAUUUAUAGAUGGAUCCGCGCUGCAUUAGCUAGUUGGUAAGGUAACGGCUUACCAAGGCAACGAUGCAUAGCCGACCUGAGAGGAUGAUCGGCCACACUGGAACUGAGACACGGUCCAGACUCCUACGGGAGGCAGCAGUAGGGAAUCUUCCGCAAUGGGCGAAAGCCUGACGGAGCAACGCCGCGUGAGUGAUGAAGGUCUUCGGGUCGUAAAGCUCUGUUAUUGGGGAAGAACAGAUGUGGAAGUAACUGUGCACAUCUUGACGGUACCUAAUCAGAAAGCCACGGCUAACUACGUG
rnacentral:rRNA from 1 species